rnacentral:rRNA from 1 species
AGAGUUUGAUCAUGGCUCAGGACGAACGCUGGCGGCGUGCUUAAUACAUGCAAGUCGAACGGGGUCCAUCCGGUGGUAACAUCGGGGAAGACCUAGUGGCGAACGGGUGAGUAACACGUGAGCAACCUGCCCCGAAGACCGGGAUAAGCCGGGGAAACCUGGUCUAAUACCGGAUACCCCCACCGGGCCGCAUGACCUGGUGAGGAAAUGUUUUUCGCUUCGGGAGGGGCUCGCGGGCUAUCAGCUUGUUGGUGGGGUAACGGCUCACCAAGGCUACGACGGCUAGCUGGUCUGAGAGGACGACCAGCCACACUGGGACUGAGACACGGCCCAGACUCCUACGGGAGGCAGCAGUAGGGAAUCUUGCGCAAUGGGCGAAAGCCUGACGCAGCAACGCCGCGUGGGGGAUGAAGGCUCUCGGGUUGUAAACCCCUUUCAGCAGGGACGAAAUUGACGGUACCUGCAGAAGAAGCCCCGGCCAACUACGUGCCAGCCGCCGCGGUAAUAC